GACGAACGCUGGAGGCGUGCUUAACACAUGCAAGUCGAACGAUGAAAUGGAGCUUGCUCCAUGGAUUAGUGGCGAACGGGUGAGUAACACGUGAAUAACCUGCCCUUAAUUUUGGAAUAACCCAGGGAAACCUGGGCUAAUACCGGAUAAGUAAACCUGUGGCAUCACAUGGUUUUGGAAAGUUUUUCGAUUAAGGAUGGAUUCGCGGCCUAUCAGCUUGUUGGUGAGGUAAUGGCUCACCAAGGCGACGACGGGUAGCCGGCCUGAGAGGGUGAACGGCCACACUGGGACUGAGACACGGCCCAGACUCCGACGGGAGGCAGCAGUGGGGAAUAUUGCGCAAUGGACGAAAGUCUGACGCAGCGACGCCUCGUGAGGGACGAAGGUCUUCGGAUUGUAAACCUCUUUCAACAGGGACGAAGCGAAGGUGACGGUACCUGCAGAAGAAGCACCGGCUAACUAUGUGCCAGCCGCCGCCGUAA
rnacentral:rRNA from 1 species